rnacentral:rRNA from 1 species
UACGUAGGGGGCAAGCGUUGUCCGGAUUUAUUGGGCGUAAAGAGCGUGUAGGCGGCCAAGCAGGUCCGCUGUGAAAACUCGAGGCUCAACCUCGAGACGUCGGUGGAAACCGUUUGGCUAGAGUCCGGAAGAGGAGAGUGGAAUUCCCGGUGUAGCGGUGAAAUGCGCAGAUAUCGGGAAGAACACCCGUGGCGAAGGCGGCUCUCUGGGCAGUAACUGACGCUGAGGAGCGAAAGCGUGGGGAGCGAACAGG